AGCGAGGCUAGAGUUACACCUUUACAAACCAUUGUACUGGUGUGCUAGAGUGCUCGCAGAGUGAACAUCUUAGCCUAUUCAUUGGCUGUAGUCUCUGAUGACCCAGCCAACCACCAGCUCAGAAACAUGA
ensembl:snoRNA small nucleolar RNA SNORA3/SNORA45 family